rnacentral:rRNA from 1 species
AUUGAACGCUGGCGGCAGGCCUAACACAUGCAAGUCGAGCGAGCGGCGGACGGGUGCGUAAUGUCUGGGAAACUGCCUGUUGGAGGGGGGUCACUACUGGAUACGGUAGCUAAAACCGCAUCCCAUCAGAUGUGCCCAGAUGGGAGUAGCUAGUCGGUGGGGUAACGGCUCACCGAGGCGACGAUCCCUAGCUGGUCUGAGAGGGUGACACGCCACACUGGAACUGAGACACGGUCCAGACUCCUACGGGAGGCAGCAGUGGGGAAUAUUGCACAAUGGGCGCAAGCCUGAUGCAGCCAUGCCGCGUGUGUGAAGAAGGCCUUCGGGUUGUAAAGCACUUUCAGCGGGGAGGCGUUACCCGCAGAGGAAGCACCGGCUAACUCCGUGCCAGCAGCCGCGGUAAUAC